GAUGAACGCUAGCGGCAGGCUUAACACAUGCAAGUCGAGGGGCAGCGCGGGAUAGCAAUAUCCUGGCGGCGACCGGCGGAAGGGUGCGUAACGCGUGAGCGACAUGCCCGUUGCCCGGGGACAACCGGUGGAAACGCCGACUAAUCCCCGAUGGGAUACGAUGCUUCAUGGCAUUGUAUUGAAAGUUACGGCGGCGACGGAUUGGCUCGCGUCCGAUUAGCUGGUUGGCGGGGUAACGGCCCACCAAGGCUGCGAUCGGUAGGGGUUCUGAGAGGAAGGCCCCCCACAAUGGGACUGAGACACGGCCCAUACGCCUACGGGAGGCAGCAGUGAGGAAUAUUGGUCAAUGGGCGGAAGCCUGAACCAGCCAUGCCGCGUGCGGGAAGGAGGCCCUAUGGGCUGUGAACCGCUUUUGCCUGGGGGCAAUAAGGGCGUCGCGCACGUCCGAUGAGAGUACCAGGCGAAUAAGCAUCGGCUAACUCCGUG
rnacentral:rRNA from 1 species